rnacentral:rRNA from 1 species
AUGAACGCUUGCGGCGUGCUUAACACAUUCAAGUCGAACGAAGCAUUUCAGACCUAUUACUUCGGUUUUACGUCUUUUAUGACUGAGUGGCGUACGGGUCAGUAACGCUUGCGUAACCUGCCUCAUACAGGGGGAUAGCAGCUGGAAACGGCUGUUAAUCCCGCAUAAGCGCACAGUACCACAUGGUACAGUGUGAAAAACUGCGGUGGUAUGAGAUGGACCCGCGUCUGAUUAGCUUGUUGGCUGGGUAACGGCCCACCAAGGCGACGAUCAGUAGCCGAACUGAGAGGAUGACCGGCCACAGUGGGACUGAGACACGGCCCAGACUCCUACGGGAGGCAGCAGUGGGGAAUAUUGCACAAUGGAGGAAAGUCUGAUGCAGCGACGCCGCGUGAGUGAAGAAGGAGUUAGGGAUGUAAAGCUCUAUUAGCAGGGAAGAUAGUGACGGUACCUGAAGAAGAAGCUCCGGCUAAAUACGUG